AAUCAUCUUGUUAUCUAAGUACCAUUUUUGCUUUUUCUUUCUUACGAUUCAUUUUUUGAGGAAAGUUUGUUCUUUCAAAAAUCUUUCUUCUGCUAUUCUUUGCUUUCCUCUUUUAUCUUUUUGCCCUUUCAUUCUUAAUCUAGUUCUCUUCUCCGGUCAAUCCUUCGUUGAAGUUCAACAUACUCCGGGACCCUCAUUUUUAGAUCCAGAAGAUUCAAAUACGAAGCUAGAUCGAGGAAAGAAAAAAGUUCCGGAUUAGUAGAUUUUUACUGUUUACAAACAAGUAUCAAGUAUUAAGAGCUCGGAGGUCGGAUUUGGUCGGAGGCACAUCACACUGUCAACCUCAGGAUUUCGGUAUAUAAAGAAACUUUAUUUUGGAAAUUAAUGGCAUGUAUAAGCUAACAAAGUAAAUGUUAACGUGAAAUGAAUGUAAAGUUAGCCAUUAGUAUGGUUAACAAGCCUGGUUAUAGAUAUGUGAUGACGUUAUCUUAUAUAAAUGCAUGAAUCUAUCAUGAAAAUAUGUUGAAUUGAUUUGGUUGAUGUGGAUUGGUCUCGAUUUAAUAUUACAGGGAAGGUUAGAUAUUUAUAAAAG